rnacentral:rRNA from 1 species
UACGUAGGGGCGAGCGUUGUCCGGAAUUAUUGGGCGUAAAGAGCUCGUAGGCGGCUCAGCAAGUCGGCUGUGAAAUCCCGAGGCUCAACCUCGGAACUGCAGUCGAUACGGGCAAUACUUGAGUGCUGUAGGGGAGACUGGAAUUCCUGGUGUAGCGGUGGAAUGCGCAGAUAUCAGGAGGAACACCGAUGGCGAAGGCAGGUCUCUGGGCAGUAACUGACGCUGAGGAGCGAAAGCAUGGGUAGCGAACA